UACGUAGGGUGCGAGCGUUAAUCGGAAUUACUGGGCGUAAAGGGUGCGCAGGCGGUUUUGUAAGCCCGAUGUGAAAGGCCCGGGCUUAACCUGGGAAUGGCAUUUGGGACUGCAAGGCUAGAGUGUGGCAGAGGAGACUGGAAUUCCUGGUGUAGCAGUGAAAUGCGUAGAUAUCAGGAGGAAUACCGAUGGCGAAGGCAGGUCUCUGGGCUGACACUGACGCUCAUGCACGAAAGCGUGGGGAGCAAACAGG
rnacentral:rRNA from 1 species